GGUGAGAUGGCCGAGUGGUCUAAGGCGCUAGAUUUAGGUCUCCAUACCGUAUCUCUAGUCUUCGGGCGUGGGUUCGAAUCCCACUCUCAUCA